CGGCAACCCCUAUCUCCUGCGUUCAAGCGAUUCUCCUGCCUCAGCCCCCUGAGUAGCUCCUCAGUACAGGCGGGUGCCUCCAUGCCCGGCUAAUUUGUUGUAUUUUUAGUAGAGACAGGGUUUUGCCAUGUUGGCAAGGCUGGUCUUAAACUCCUGACCUUAGGUGAUCCACCCACCUCGGCCUCCCAAAGUGCUGGAAUUACAGGCGUGAGCCACUGCACCUGGCCUCAAUGUCGUCGUCUUCUCCUUUUCCUUCUCCUUCUUCUUCAUUUUUUCUUUUUUUUUUUCUUUUUUCUAGAUACAGAGUCUCGCUCGAUCACCCAGGCUGGAGUGGAGUGGCGCCAUCUUGGCUCACUGCAAGCUCCGCCUCCCGCGUUCUCGCCAUUUUCCUGCCUCAGUCUCCGGAGUAGCUGGGACUACAGGCGCCCGCCACCACGCCUGGCUAAUUUUUUUGUUUUUUUAGUAGAAACGGGGUUUCACCGUGUUAGCCAGAAUGGUCUCGAUCUCCUGACCUCGUGAUCCACCUCAGCUUCCCAAAGUGCUGGGAUUACAGGCAUGAGCCACCGAAACCGGAUGAUGCCUCCUUCUUAAUUUCCAGUCUUGUUGGCUAAUAUCAGGGACAUAGAUGAAGCUGGGAGCCAUCAUACUCAGCAAACUAACACAGGAAUAGAAAACCAAACACCGCGUGUUCUCACUCAUAAGUGGGAGUUGAACAAUGAGAACACAUGGACACAGAUUUGCUGUCUGGAGAGAUAUAUGAAAUUUAAAGAUGGCAAUCCAUUCCCUUCCCAUCAUGCUUCUUUUUCUACAGACCCGGAGUUUCUGUCCAUGUCCAAUGCAUUCAAGAUUCUUCUGCAAAUCUGAACAGUCUUGGCUGCUGUUAAUUCCUGAAAUUCAGCUCUGUUCUGUCUCUUCUGGGAAACCACCCCUACCAUCUGCCUGCUGCCUGGGUAGAAAACCUGGCCUGUGUAUUCUCAUAGCAUAUCACUCUUACUCUAUUUGAAGCACUCCUUUCAGUCUAUAGAUAUUCUUUACUUCCAGGUAAAAAUCUGGCUAAUGGAAGUAUCAUUCUAUAUUUCAUAAGCUUAUUUUUAAAGAUUAAACAUGUUAAUAUGUGUAAAAUAUACAUAUAUUAAUUUUAAUAUGUAUAUUUAAGAUAUAAUUAUGACCUUCGAAUACAUUAAGACUAAAACUGCUGCUUUUUAGCAAAAUAUUUAAAUGUGGCCAUAUAUUUAUUCAGAUCGAAUCCAAGAUCAAUUAUCAAAGUAAAAAUUGUAAAAUCUAAUUAUCUUGAAAGGACAUAAUAACUAAAAAAUAAUAAAAAUCAUAAAUCACCAAAUAAAUAUUAUAUAUAUCAUUUAAGACACAUCAAUCAGUACAUACAAAAAGUAACAGCAGGCCGGGCGCGGUGGCUCACGCCUGUAAUCCCAGCACUUUGGGAGGCCGAGGCGGGUGGAUCAUGA
rnacentral:lncRNA from 10 species